GUAUUUAAUUUUUUUAAACAUCCACUUUUUUUUUAACAGGGUGUAUAAAAAUCAUAGACAGCAGAUAGAAUCACUGCUGUCUACAAAAUGUGCACAGGUGAAAAAGAGUCAGAGUGCACAUGCAACUAUAAGUUGCCAGCACAUCCUUUGAGAAUCAUUAAUGAUCCUUCCGCAGGUUCACCUACGGAAA
rnacentral:misc_RNA from 1 species